AGCUGAUGAGCUUGAUACAGCAUUUGUUUUGAAAACAUUAUAUAGAGGAAAGUCCCUCUAUCAGCUU
rnacentral:tRNA from 1 species